UACGUAGGGUGCGAGCGUUGUCCGGAAUUAUUGGGCGUAAAGAGCUUGUAGGCGGUCUGUCGCGUCUGCUGUGAAAAUCCGGGGCUCAACCCCGGACUUGCAGUGGGUACGGGCAGACUAGAGUGUGGUAGGGGAGACUGGAAUUCCUGGUGUAGCGGUGAAAUGCGCAGAUAUCUGGAGGAACACCGGUGGCGAAGGCGGCAUUCUGGACCGAAACUGACGCUGAGGCGCGAAAGCCAGGGGAGCAAACGGG
rnacentral:rRNA from 1 species